UACGUAGGUCCCGAGCGUUGUCCGGAUUUAUUGGGCGUAAAGCGAGCGCAGGUGGUUUAUUAAGUCUGGUGUAAAAGGCAGUGGCUCAACCAUUGUAUGCAUUGGAAACUGGUAAACUUGAGUGCAGGAGAGGAGAGUGGGAUUCCAUGUGUAGCGGUGAAAUGCGUAGAUAUAUGGAGGAACACCGGUGGCGAAAGCGGCUCUCUGGCCUGUAACUGACACUGAGGCUCGAAAGCGUGGGGAGCAAACAGG
rnacentral:rRNA from 1 species